rnacentral:rRNA from 1 species
AUUGAACGCUGGCGGCAGGCCUAACACAUGCAAGUCGAGCGGAUGAAGGGAGCUUGCUCCUGGAUUCAGCGGCGGACGGGUGAGUAAUGCCUAGGAAUCUGCCUGGUAGUGGGGGAUAACGUCCGGAAACGGGCGCUAAUACCGCAUACGUCCUGAGGGAGAAAGUGGGGGAUCUUCGGACCUCACGCUAUCAGAUGAGCCUAGGUCGGAUUAGCUAGUUGGUGGGGUAAAGGCCUACCAAGGCGACGAUCCGUAACUGGUCUGAGAGGAUGAUCAGUCAGCCUGGAACAUAAACAGGGUCCAGCCUAAUGCGGGAGGCAGCAGUGGGGAAUAUUGGACAAGGGGCUAAAGCUUGAUCCACACAUGACGCGUGUGUGAAGGAGAUUUUCUGAUUGUAAAGCACUUUAAGCUGAGAGGAAGGGCAGUAAGUUAAUACCUUGCUGUCUUGACGCUACCAACAGAAUAAGCACCGGCUAACUUCAUG